UACAGAGGUCUCAAGCGUUGUUCGGAUUCAUUGGGCGUAAAGAGCUCGUAGGCGGCUUGUCGCGUCGGCUGUGAAAACUCGGGGCUCAACCCCGAGCCUGCAGUCGAUACGGGCAGGCUAGAGUCCGGCAGGGGAGACUGGAAUUCCUGGUGUAGCGGUGAAAUGCGCAGAUAUCAGGAGGAACACCGGUGGCGAAGGCGGUUCUCUGGGCCGUAACUGACGCUGAGGAGCGAAAGCGUGGGGAGCGAACAGG
rnacentral:rRNA from 1 species